GACGAACGCUGGCGGCAUGCCUAACACAUGCAAGUCGAGCGAGCAGAUCCUUUCGGGGUGAAGCUAGCGGCGGACGGGUGAGUAACACGUGGGCAACCUGCCUCAUAGAGGGGAAUAGCCUCCCGAAAGGGAGAUUAAUACCGCAUAAGAUUGCAUCUUCGCAUGAAGAAGCAAUUAAAGGAGCAAUCCGCUAUGAGAUGGGCCCGCGGCGCAUUAGCUAGUUGGUGAGGUAACGGCUCACCAAGGCGACGAUGCGUAGCCGACCUGAGAGGGUGAUCGGCCACAUGGGAACUGAGACACGGCCCAGACUCCUACGGGAGGCAGCAGUGGGGAAUAUUGCACCAUGGGGGAAACCCUGAUGCAGCAAUGCCGCGUGAGUGAUGACGGCCUUCGGGUUGUAAAGCUCUGUCUUCGGGGACGAUAAUGACGGUACCCGAGGAGGAAGCCACGGCUAACUACGUGCCAGCCGCCGCCGUAAUAC
rnacentral:rRNA from 1 species